UACGGGGGGGGCAAGCGUUGUUCGGAAUUACUGGGCGUAAAGGGCGCGUAGGCGGUUCGCUAAGUUGAAUGUGAAAACUCUGGGCUUAACCCAGAGCCUGCAUCCAAAACUGGCGAACUGGAGUACUGGAGGGGAAAGCGGGAAUUCCUGGUGUAGCGGUGAAAUGCGUAGAUAUCAGGAGGAACACCGGUGGCGAAGGCGGCUUUCUGGACAGUAACUGACGCUGAGGCGCGAAAGCCCGGGGGGAGCAAACAGG
rnacentral:rRNA from 1 species